CGUGCUUGAGGUUGAAUAGCCAAGGUGAGAAUGGUCGAAGUGGUGUUCUCGCUAGAACUCUGUCCGAAUAUCUGCAAAAAGUUCUCAUCGGGGUGUUCUCCAGUGAAGACCCUCCAAUGCUCAAGUUAAGAGAUGGAGAACAAUGAGAAGGAGAAAGUGAAAAUAGAGAACUUACUUUAAGGGUCUCUAUGCCUCUUUAUUUAUAGGGGAGGA
rnacentral:lncRNA from 1 species